CUGAAAUAUGCCUUAGACAUGUUUGUGGUCUGCUUUUGGUGAGAUUUCUGGCUGUAGGAGGUUUUGAUAACAGCGAGAUUCACUGCAGGUUUGUAGAUAACGUGUCUCUCAUCUACCAUUAACACAUAACACUUGUUUUCUGCUCUGAAGGAUCUGUGUUUAGCUAUGUGACAUAUUUCUCUCUUUCGUCCUCUUUAUCAGAAGCAGUGGAGUGAAUCUUGCCAUCCAGCCUGAGAACACAAAUCCUCCUUGUCUGUACAUUUAUCUGGAGUGUGUGUGUCUGCGUGCCAUGUUUAAAGCUUGUCAUAUAGCAAACGCAGGCCUCGUUUCAUGUGCAGCGGCGCUUUCUUUGUUGUGACAGGACCCUUUCUCAGUUUGUGCUUCUGUUUUGUAUCACACACUUUAUCCAGAAGCACAAGGCAAUGCGGAAAUCAAUACUGGAGUCCCAGCGGUGCUGACCGGAGACACAGAAGAAGGGGAAAAAAGCACAUCCGCACAGUGAAGAUCACAGAAAACACACACGGACCACUGAGGAAGAGCAUUCAGAGGUGGUCCCACCAGGCAUGUUCAUCACCUUGAGGAGAGAAAAGGCGUUUGCUGCCAGUUGUUUCUAUUGGUGGUUUUCCAGGAAUCGGCAGCCAGGCUAAUUCUGCUCGAGUGUCUCUUCAGACCUGGACACACACUGAGAGCUGGACCGUCCUACAAUCACAGAGACCAGCAGAGACUCCAAAAGCAAUGAAAGCAGGACCUCAUGCGUGCAACUCAAGGUUGGGUACAGUUCACAAACAUAAUGUGUUCAUCGGGUUGAUGUCAAGAAGUUGCAGCAAGCUGUUUGCACAUUUAGUUUAAUUACUCAAGACGACAAGAAACUCUCAAC
rnacentral:lncRNA from 1 species